GCACCAGAAGUAGAUAGUCUAACCUUAGGGAGGGCGUUUACCACGGUGUGCUUUCAUGACUGGGCUAAAGUCGUAACAAGGUAUCCGUAGGGGAACCUGUGGCUGGAUCACCUCCUU
rnacentral:rRNA from 1 species